AACGCAAGCUGCCUUAUCGUUUGCGGCUCCACCUGGUGGAGCUGUGAGAGGAAAGUCCGGGCAACACAGAGCAUCCUGCUUCCUAACCGGAAGGGGCCGUUUGCACAAGCAAACGGCUACAGCCAGUGCCACAGAAAAUAUACCGCCCCAUGUAUAUGGGGUAAGGGUGAAAAGGUGCGGUAAGAGCGCACCGCUCUGGUAGUGAUACCAGGGGCAUGGUAAACCUCAGGAGUUGAAAGACCAAAUAGGUCCUUCUUUCCCGCCCUUUGGCGGGCUUCCCACCAAAGGGCGGGAAGAGAGUGCUCGCUCAAUUCCCGAUUUGUUUCGGGAGAGAGGGAUGGGUAGGUCGAUAGAGCCAGGUGGCAACGCCUGGCCCAGAUAAAUGAUAAGGAUACCGGAGCAAUCCGGGAAACAGAACCCGGCUUACAGGCUUGCGUUUACU
rnacentral:RNase_P_RNA from 2 species